GACGAACGCUGGCGGCGUGCCUAAUACAUGCAAGUAGAACGCUGAAGAGAGGAGCUUGCUCUUCUUGGAUGAGUUGCGAACGGGUGAGUAACGCGUAGGUAACCUGCCUUGUAGCGGGGGAUAACUAUUGGAAACGAUAGCUAAUACCGCAUAACAAUGGAUGACCCAUGUCAUUUAUUUGAAAGGGGCAAAUGCUCCACUACAAGAUGGACCUGCGUUGUAUUAGCUAGUAGGUGAGGUAACGGCUCACCUAGGCGACGAUACAUAGCCGACCUGAGAGGGUGAUCGGCCACACUGGGACUGAGACACGGCCCAGACUCCUACGGGAGGCAGCAGUAGGGAAUCUUCGGCAAUGGGGGCAACCCUGACCGAGCAACGCCGCGUGAGUGAAGAAGGUUUUCGGAUCGUAAAGCUCUGUUGUAAGUCAAGAACGAGUGUGAGAGUGGAAAGUUCACACUGUGACGGUAGCUUACCAGAAAGGGACGGCUAACUACGUGCCAGCAGCCGCGGUAAUACGUAGGUCCCGAGCGUUGUCCGGAUUUAUUGGGCGUAAAGCGAGCGCAGGCGGUUUGAUAAGUCUGAAGUUAAAGGCUGUGGCUCAACCAUAGUUCGCUUUGGAAACUGUCAAACUUGAGUGCAGAAGGGGAGAGUGGAAUUUCCAUGUGUAGCGGUGAAAUGCGUAGAUAUAUGGNAGGAACACCGGUGGCGAAAGCGGCUCUCUGGUCUGUAACUGACGCUGAGGCUCGAAAGCGUGGGGAGCGAACAGGAUUAGAUACCCUGGUAGUCCACGCCGUAAACGAUGAGUGCUAGGUGUUGGAUCCUUUCCGGGAUUCAGUGCCGCAGCUAACGCAUUAAGCACUCCGCCUGGGGAGUACGACCGCAAGGUUGAAACUCAAAGGAAUUGACGGGGGCCCGCACAAGCGGUGGAGCAUGUGGUUUAAUUCGAAGCAACGCGAAGAACCUUACCAGGUCUUGACAUCCCGAUGCUAUUUCUAGAGAUAGAAAGUUACUUCGGUACAUCGGUGACAGGUGGUGCAUGGUUGUCGUCAGCUCGUGUCGUGAGAUGUUGGGUUAAGUCCCGCAACGAGCGCAACCCCUAUUGUUAGUUGCCAUCAUUCAGUUGGGCACUCUAGCGAGACUGCCGGUAAUAAACCGGAGGAAGGUGGGGAUGACGUCAAAUCAUCAUGCCCCUUAUGACCUGGGCUACACACGUGCUACAAUGGUUGGUACAACGAGUUGCGAGUCGGUGACGGCAAGCUAAUCUCUUAAAGCCAAUCUCAGUUCGGAUUGUAGGCUGCAACUCGCCUACAUGAAGUCGGAAUCGCUAGUAAUCGCGGAUCAGCACGCCGCGGUGAAUACGUUCCCGGGCCUUGUACACACCGCCCGUCACACCACGAGAGUUUGUAACACCCGAAGUCGGUGAGGUAACCUUUUGGAGCCAGCCGUCUAAGGUGGGAUAGAUGAUUGGGGUG
rnacentral:rRNA from 1 species